rnacentral:rRNA from 1 species
UACGUAGGGUGCAAGCGUUGUCCGGAAUUAUUGGGCGUAAAGAGCUCGUAGGCGGUUCGUUGCGUCGGCUGUGAAAACCUGAGGCUCAACCUCAGGCCUGCAGUCGAUACGAGCAGACUAGAGUGUUGCAGGGGAGACUGGAAUUCCUGGUGUAGCGGUGAAAUGCGCAGAUAUCAGGAGGAACACCGGUGGCGAAGGCGGGUCUCUGGGCAACAACUGACGCUGAGGAGCGAAAGCGUGGGGAGCAAACAGG